CUUGCUGCAGGCGAUCUUUGCGUACUCCUAUUAAAGAGAGACAAACACUCCUGUAGGAUGAGUCACCAGUUAGGACCGACAACGGUUACUCUGCGGACAGGGGGAAACGCCUUGCAAGACAUUUAACAGGGAGCAGCAGCGAUCGUCUGAUGCUCCUUCUCGGGUUUACGAAGACCUUCUCGCUUCCAUUUGCCAGGAAUGGGUAUUUCAAGGAGCAUGAGGAAACCUGGGUCUGGUAGGCAGGUGAGUACAGGAGAAAAAUGGAGGAAGGCAAAAUGAGGUGGAAGAGCGAAUUCUUUAACCGGUUUGCCACUGGUUUGCCUCUUCUUCCAGGUAUGUAUAUUUAUCUUUCCCUGACAAAAAUCUCUUUGUGGCAAGCUGAAAAACCAGAAGAGAACUCAAGAUAUCUAGGGGUACCAAGGGGUAGGCGACAGACUUACACUGUCUUAGUGCUUUGAGAUUCUCUAAAAACAGUAACACAAAAGGAUGGCAGCACCCAGUAACACAAGUUACACAGAAAACAAUGUCAUAAAUCCUCAUCCAACAUGACUUUAAAUCCUUCCAUGAAAGGAACUCCAGACCUUCAGUAACAAAUGCUACUGUUCCAAUGAGGCAUGCAAAAUUAUUAUUUUUUGCUUGCUAUUGAACUCAGGACUCCAUCCUUUUAUAAAAAUUUUGGAGAAAAUAUUAUUUUCUAUAGCUUAGCUUUCACUGCCAAGUUUAUUAAAGGACUGAGCCCCUGGCUCUUACGGCGCAACCACACCAUGCACAUGCAUUGCUUUAAGAUCACGCUGCCAGUCUACCAGCAACAGUAGCACGUGCACAUAAUUGAUAUCAAUAUUGGCUCCCAAGGCUGUGGGGUGUGCUGAGCAAACAAUGUUCAGGGGAGUGAGCCGAUGACCUGUGCUAGCCAGUAUGAAUGAGGCAAGGGAUGAAUGAGAAACAAUGGUAUUCUUGCAGAAAAUCUCGUAAAGAGAUUAGGAAAAGCAACCCUGCCAGGAAGUCUGCUGUUAUCCUGAGUAAGCACAAUACGUCACCAAGAGAGGACAUGGGGCACUUAGAACCCACCCCACUGUUGUGUCCGAUAGACCCGAACAUGAAAGGUGGGCCCGGUUUGUUGAACACAAUAACAGGAGGCGGCUGGCACAAUAACAGGGAGUGGCUACGGGUAGCAGGGGGCGCAUUGAUAUGCAACACUGAACGCGCCACAUAUAGCAAGGAACGCUUGAUAUGCAACAAUGGGCUUGCAAAAGCAAAUUUAACCACAAACUUGAGCUUCUGUACUUCACGCUUGCUUAAUAUGAAACGUGGUACUUUCCCACGGGCGCACAAAGUAACGGUUAGCGCCAAGUACAUCCGGGUAGAAAAUGUAUAAAACCUGUACCAUCCCAAUACCAGGGGCCGCACUCCCCCCUGAGUGUUGGUCCCUGCACAGGUAUAUGAAAGGACCCUUCAACUCUCUAUAUUUCUUGUCCAGUGGUCUCAUUCGAUCGCGCUACAACACCCAUCAAUACGAGCCAGCAAAUACAAAGGACAUGCCUGUUUACCCAACAGAAAACAGACAUGAUCGCAUAGCAGACAGGAACAGUUAAGGACAUCAAGACCAUCAAGCAACUAGCAAAUAAUGAGAACUUCCCUGAUCCUGCAGAAGCACACAUGGCAGAAAGAGUUUAAGGAGCCAGGACUUAGAAAAUGGAAGAGACCUGGCACCCAGUCUAGAAGGUGGAAAACCUGCCAUCUUCCUACCCACGAAAGGAACUACGGCCAAGACUCGGCAGAGCAGGACAACCAGGAGACAGCUUUCAUGGUUUUCGAAUCUGCUAGUGCCAUCAGCCAGAACAACUUGGUCCUCCCACAGCCUUCAUGAAGGUCAACCUUGAUAGCUUCUUCCUCUUCUUUGAACACCUGUCAAGAAGAAAGCCUGUCUACAUGGUCCUGAUCCAGCACACAAAGAGAUGCAAGAGCCAGCCAGAGCUGUGGGGAAGAGGACACAAUCAUUUAGCAACAUGUUAAAAAGGCAGAUUUAUUUGUUUGUUUGUUUGUUUGUUUGUGAUAUUUAUAUGCCAUCCUAUUUCAAAAGCCUCAGGACGGCUUACAUAAAUAAGUUAAAUUGGUUAAGCAUAUUUAACCAAUGCUUUUAUCCUGAUACCUUAUCUACCACUAACUUCACACUGUAAAUUCUCUCUAGCAAUGGCACUCAUGCAACUGUUCAGCUGCAUGAUUAUGAAUUAAACAUCAAGGAUGUUUGGUAUAUUCUGUACCUCAUGCCAUCCUGAUAGGUACCUUGUUUUAGGAUUUUCUACUUAGGAAAUGUAGUACUAAUUUAUUUAUUAUUAACAUUUAUAUACUGCCAUUAUCUGUUUGAAAAUGUCAUCAAGGCUAUACGUAAGAAUUUACAACAGUAAACCCCCAAAACAAUAAAACCAAGAAUAAAUGCAUUACAACAUUAAAAUGACACAUUCUGAAAAGCUAAAUUGAAAAGAUGCAUCUUUAUAUCCUUUCUAAUGGCAAGAAAGUUCUUGGGGGAAUGCAUUCUGCAAUUUGGGGAGGGAGAACACGGACGCCUAACAAGCAAGAUCUGCAGCUAAUAUCACCUUCAACAGAGCCUUUCUAAGCUCUAAAUAUUCAGGGAAGUUCACAGAAAGGUAGACUUUAAAAGAGGUUUUUCAUUUUCCCCUACUGCUUCCUCUUUUCAAAUGUCAUUUUGACAGUCCAGCUCAACUAUGUUUACUCCAAGUACAAUCCUAUGAAAGUACAUAUAAAAAACCUUAAACAAACCAAAAACAAACAAUGGUGAAGUUCUGAAAUCAUGACCUUAUUGCUAAAAUGGUAAACAAGAAGAUGGGAUUGUCAGUUUGGAAACACUGAAAGUACCCUUUUUGUCAGAGGAAGAUAGGUAUCUACUUAUGGAGAUGGCUUAUUGACUAAUUUUAUACGCAGUAGGGUUGCCAUAAUACGGGGAUGACUUAACAGCAUGUAAUCUCAA